rnacentral:rRNA from 1 species
UACGUAGGGUGCAAGCGUUGUCCGGAAUUAUUGGGCGUAAAGAGCUCGUAGGCGGCCUGUCGCGUCUGGUGUGAAAACUCAGGGCUUAACUCUGAGCUUGCAUCGGGUACGGGCAGACUAGAGUGUGCUAGGGGAGACUGGAAUUCCUGGUGUAGCGGUGAAAUGCGCAGAUAUCGGGAGGAACACCGGUGGCGAAGGCGGUUCUCUGGGCCUUACCUGACGCUGAGGAGCGAAAGCGUGGGGAGCGAACAGG